UACGUAGGUGGCAAGCGUUGUCCGGAUUUACUGGGCGUAAAGAGCGCGCAGGCGGUCGAUUUAGUCGCGUGUGAAAGCCCCCGGCUCAACUGGGGAGGGUCACGCGAUACUGAUCGACUCGAAGGCAGGAGAGGGUAGUGGAAUUCCUGGUGUAGCGGUGGAAUGCGCAGAUAUCAGGAGGAACACCGAUGGCGAAGGCAGUUCUCUGGAACGCAACUGACGCUGAGACGCGAAAGCGUGGGGAGCAAACAGG
rnacentral:rRNA from 1 species